AUUGAACGCUGGCGGCAGGCCUAACACAUGCAAGUCGAACGAGUGGCGGACGGGUGAGUAAUGUCUGGGAAACUGCCUGAUGGAGGGGGAUAACUACUGGAAACGGUAGCUAAUACCGCAUACCAUCGGAUGUGCCCAAAUGGGAUUAGCUAGUAGGUGGGGUAACGGCUCCCCUAGGCGACGAUCCCUAGCUGGUCUGCGAGGAUGACCAGCCACACUGGACCUGAGACACGAUCCAGACUCCUACGGUAGGCAGCCGUGGGGAAUAUUGCACAAUGGGCGCAAGCCUGAUGCAACCAUGCCACGUGUAUGAAGAAGGCCUUCGGGUUGUAAAGUACUUUCAGCGGGGAGGCGUUACCCGCAGAAGGAGCACCGGCUAACACCGUGCCAGCAGCCGCGGUAAUUC
rnacentral:rRNA from 1 species